CAGCACCUCAAGUGGUCAGGAUGAUUAUUGGGGCUAAAGCAUCCGUAGCCGGCGCUGUAAGUUUUCGGUUAAAUCUGUACGCUCAACGUACAGGCUGCCGGGAAUACUGCAGCGCUAGGGAGUGGGAGAGGUAGACGGUACUCGGUAGGAAGGGGUAAAAUCCUUUGAUCUAUUGAUGACCACCUGUGGCGAAGGCGGUCUACCAGAACACGUCCGACGGUGAGGGAUGAAAGCUGGGGGAGCAAACCGGAUUAGAUACCCGAGUAGUCC
rnacentral:rRNA from 1 species